rnacentral:rRNA from 1 species
GCCUAAUACAUGCAAGUCGAACGCAUUGUGGUUGAAAUGAUAUGAAGAACUUGUUCAGAUUUGAUUUUCAACAUUGCAAUGAGUGGCGAACGGGUGAGUAACACGUGGGAAACCUACCUCUUAGCAGGGAUAACAUUUGGAAACAAAUGCUAAUACCGUAUAAUAAUUAAAACCGCAUGGUUUUAGUUUAAAGAUGGUCUUGCUAUCACUAAGAGAUGGUCCCGCGGUGUAUUAGUUAGUUGGUGAGGUAAUGGCUCACCAAGACAAUGAUACAUAGCCGAGUUGAGAGACUGACCGGCCACAAUGGGACUGAGACACGGCCCCAUACUCCUACGGGAGGCAGCAGUAGGGAAUCUUCCACAAUGGACGAAAGUCUGAUGGAGCAACGCCGCGUGUGUGAUGAAGGGUUUCGGCUCGUAAAACACUGUUGUAAGAGAAGAAUGGCAUUGAGAGUAACUGUUCAAUGUGUGACGGUAUCUUACCAGAAAGGAACGGCUAAAUACGUG